GGUAGUGUGGUGGAGUGCUUUGAGCAUUGGACUAGGACUCUGGAGACCAGGGUUCAGUUCCCAGCUCUGCCA